AAACGACUCUCGGCAACGGAUAUCCCGGCUCUCGCAUCGAUGAAGAACGUAGCGAAAUGCGAUACUUGGUGUGAAUUGCAGAAUCCCGUGAACCAUUGAGUCUUUGAACGCAAGUUGCGCCCGAAGCCAUUAGGCUGAGAGCACGUCUGCCUGGGUGUCACGC
rnacentral:rRNA from 1 species